GCUGGUCAUUUAUGAACAUUUUAACAUCUUGACCAUGUUCUGUUAUAAUAUCCACCCUGCACAGCCAGAAGAGGACUGGCCACCCCUCAUAGCCUGGUUCCUCUCUAGGUUUCUUCCUAGGUUUUUGGCCUUUCUAGGGAGUUUUUCCUAGGGAGUUUUUCCUAGCCACCGUGCUUCUUUCACAUGCAUUGCUUGCUGUUUGGGGUUUUAGGCUGGGUUUCUGUACAGCACUUUGAGAUAUCAGCUGAUGUACGAAGGGCUAUAUAAAUACAUUUGAUUUGAUUUGAUUUGAAGUGUAAAGGAAUGAAUAAGAAUAUUUACAUCAAAAUAUAUGAAUGAGCGAUGGCCGAACGGCAUAGGCAAGAUGCAGUAGAUGGUAUAGAGUACAGUAUAUACAUAUGAGAUGAGUAAUGUAGGGUAUGUAAACAUUAUAUAAAGUGGCAUUGUUUAAAGUGGCUAGUGAUACAUUUAUUACAUCAAUUUAUCAUUAUUAAAGUGGCUAGAGAUGAGUCAGUAUGAUGGCAGCAGCCACUCAAUGUUAGUGAUGGCUGUUAGUGAUGGCUGUCUGAUGGCCUUGAGAUAGAAGCUGUUUUUCAGUCUCAUUCAAGCUGUUUUUCAGUGCCCCAUUCAAAAAAUGUAGAACCAGGAACAGAUAUAGCCCUUGGUUCACUCCAGACCUGACUGCCCUUGACCAGCACAAAAACUAGCCUGCAUUAGCAUUGAAUAGCCCCCGCGAUAUGCAACUUUUCAGGGAAGUUAGGAACCAAUGUACACAGGCAGUUAGGAAGGCAAAAGCUAUCUUUUUCAAACAGAAAUUUGCAUCCGUAGCACAAACUCCAAAAAGUUCUGGGACACUGUAAAGUCCAUGGAGAAUAAGAGCACCUCCUCCCAGCUGCCCGCUGCACUGAGGCUAGGAAACACUGUCACCACCGAUAAAUCUAUGAUUAUCGAGAAUUUCAAUAAGCAUUUUUCUACAGCUGGCCUUGCUUUCCACCUGGCUACCCCUACCUCGGUCAACAGCUCUGCACCCCCCACAGAAACUUGCCCAAGCCUCCCCCAUUUCUCCUUCACCCAAAUCCAGAUAGCUGAUGUUCUGAAAGAGCUGCAAAAUCUGGACCCCUACGAAUCUAAAAUUAUCUGCCGCACUUGUUGCUAUUACUAGCCUGUUCAACCUUUCUUUCGUAUCGUCUGAGAUCCCCAAAGAUUGGAAAGCUGCCGCGGUCAUCCCCCUCUUCAAAUGGGGAGACAUCUAGACCCAAACUGUUACAGACCUAUAUCUAUCCUACCAUGCCUUUCUAAGGUCUUCGAAAGCCAGCCAAGUUAACAAACAGAUCACGAAUCCCACCGUACCUUCUCCGCUAUGCAAUCUGGUUUCAGAGCUGGUCAUGGGUGCACCUCAGCCACGCUCAAGGUCCUAAACGAUAUCAUAAUCGCCAUCGACAAAAGACAAUACUGUGCAGCCAUAUCCAUCGACCUGGCCAAGGCUUUCGACUCUGUCAAUCACCCAUUCUUAUCGUCAGAUUCAACAGCCUUUGUUUCUCAAAUGACUGCCUCGCCUGGUUCACCAACUACUUCUCAGAUAGAGUUCAGUGUGUCAAAUGGGAGGGCCUGUUGUCCGGACCUCUGGCAGUCUCUAUGGGGGUGCCACAGGGUUCAAUUCUCGGGCCGACUCUUUUCUCUGUAUACGUCAAUGAUGUUGGUCUUGCGGCUGGUGAUUCUCUGAUUCACCUCUAUGUAGACGACACCAUUCUGGCCCUUCUUUGGACACUGUGUUAACUAACCUCCAGACAAGCUUCAAUGCCAUACAACUUUCCUUCCGUGGCCUCCAACUGCUCUUAAAUGCAAGUAAAACUAAAUGCAUGCUCUUCAAUCGAUUGCUGCCCGCAUCUGCCCACCCGCCUAGAAUCACUACUUUGGACGGUUCUAACUUAGAAUAUGUGGACAACUACAAAUACCUCGGUGUCUGGUUAGACUGUAAACUCUCCUUCCAGACUCAUAUUAAGCAUCUCCAAUCCCAAAAUACAUCUAGAAUCGGCUUCCUAUUUCACAACAAAGCAUCCUUCACUCAUGCUGCCAAACAUACCCUCGUAAAACUGACUAUCCUACUGAUCCUUGACUUCAGCGAUGUUAUUUACAAAAUAGCCUCCAACACUCUACUCAGCAAAUUGGAUACAGUCUAUCACAGUGCCAUCCGUUUCGUCACCAAAGCCCCAUAUACUACUGAUAAGAGAAUACUUCAAAAUGAGAAGAUCCUGCCAUGGAAAAGACGAGUGGGUGGACAUAAAGUGGAAAGGAGGGGAAAUAACUCACACCAUGCAGCAGGACACCUUCAGCUGUGGGGUCUUUGUAAUGCAGGUUCGAUAGUUAUAUUUUCAAUAAUGAAUGGUUAGCUGUUAUGUGACAGUUAGGUCAAAAACUCUAUUUUAUUUUUUGGUGUAGAUGGCCAAGGAAGUCACACAGAACUUCCCCAACAUCCCCUCCCAAAUUCAUAUGGAACCUUCAAAACCAUAUGGAGCAACUGCGAAAAGAAAUGGCUGAGGAUAUACUAAAAAUGUCUGAGUUCAACAAAGCCAACAACUGAUUCAUGUGUGCCACUGAUAAAGAACCUGUCUGUGGCCCAAAGGCUGACUGGACAAAAGAGUUCAACAGAGUAAAGAACACAACCUGGAAGUGCAGUCUUUGUUGUUGAAAAUGUAUGUUAUACCCCAUCCACACUGAAGAGGCUCUGAAAUGUACAUCAACCAGGGAUAAAGAGAAAGUUAACACUGAAAUGUUUCAUACUUAAUUGAAGUUAAGUGUCUGUUGACAUGUUGGAAAAGAUUAAAGGUCUACAAUUUCUAUUUCAUUUGUCAAUAUUACAUUUUUAUUCAUUGAUUUACUGGCCACUAUUACUGUGGUUACAUGUUCAGUAUAUGUAUUGACCAGCAAACCCACUGCAGCCUACCUCACUAGUUCACUCUCCAUCCCUGCUGUGGACAAUAACAUGACUCUCG
rnacentral:lncRNA from 1 species